UACAGAGGGUGCGAGCGUUGUCCGGAAUCACUGGGCGUAAAGGGCGCGUAGGCGGCCCGGUAAGGUUGCGGUGAAAGCCCGGAGCUCAACUCCGGAACUGCCAUUGAAACUGUGAGACUUGAGUAUGAGAGAGGUGAGUGGAAUUCCCAGUGUAGAGGUGAAAUUCGUAGAUAUUGGGAAGAACACCGGUGGCGAAGGCGGCGACCUGGUCCGACACUGACGCUGAGGCGCGAAAGCGUGGGGAGCAAACAGG
rnacentral:rRNA from 1 species